rfam:Arcobacter butzleri RM4018, complete genome.
GUAGUCAGAUGGUGUGCAGCGAUUCAUUGCGUUCUCGCUCCUAAAAUUUGCACUUGUCUGCAAUUUGUGGCUUAUGUGGGCCAUUUAGUGGUUAACGGCUACUUGGAU